UACGAAGGGGGCUAGCGUUGCUCGGAAUCACUGGGCGUAAAGGGUGCGUAGGCGGGUUUUUAAGUCAGGGGUGAAAUCCUGGAGCUCAACUCCAGAACUGCCUUUGAUACUGGCGAUCUUGAGUCCGGGAGAGGUGAGUGGAACUGCGAGUGUAGAGGUGAAAUUCGUAGAUAUUCGCAAGAACACCAGUGGCGAAGGCGGCUCACUGGCCCGGUACUGACGCUGAGGUGCGAAAGCGUGGGGAGCAAACAGGG
rnacentral:rRNA from 1 species